rnacentral:rRNA from 1 species
CCUACGGGUGGCAGCAGUGGGGAAUAUUGCGCAAUGGGCGAAAGCCUGACGCAGCGACGCCGCGUGAGGGAUGAAGGUCUUCGGAUCGUAAACCUCUGUCAGCAGGGAAGAACGGUCACUGUGCUAAUCAGCAGUGAAUUGACGGUACCUGCAAAGGAAGCACCGGCUAACUACGUGCCAGCAGCCGCGGUAAUACGGAGGGUGCGAGCGUUAAUCGGAAUUACUGGGCGUAAAGCGCGCGUAGGCGGUAUAACAAGUCAAGGGUGAAAGCCCCGGGCUCAACGGGGGAACUGCAUUAGAAACUGGCAAACUGGAGUGUAGGAGAGGAUAGUGGAAUUCCAGGUGUAGGAGUGAAAUCCGUAGACAUAUGGAAGAACAUCAGUGGCGAAGGCGACUAUCUGGCACGUAACUGACGCUGAGGCGCGAAAGCGUGGGUAGCAAACAGGAUUAGAUACCCUUGUAGUC